AGUCCCGUAGCUCAGUUGGUAGAGCGCCUUCCUUACAAGCAGGAUGUCACAGGUUCAAGUCCUGUCGGGGCUACCA
rnacentral:tRNA from 1 species